rnacentral:rRNA from 1 species
CCUACCGACCACUCACUCAAAGAUGUGUUCUUUGCUGAGCUUGUUGCACAGAAGCCACCUACGGGGGUGGCUUGGUUAGCCUCCGGGGAUUUCAACCAGAUUUACCGAGCUAGGGACAAGAACAAGCGGAACGUAAAUUGCAACCGAAUCAACCGGUUCCGGGCUUCUCUCCAUGAGUGUGAGCUCAAAGAAACCCAUCUCCAGAACAGGAGGUUCACCUGGAGCAAUGAGAGGUCAAAUCCUACCUUGUGCAAGCUUGACUCUUUCUUUUGCAAUGCGGAGUGGGACACAACCUUUGAUGAUCACGUUCUCCAUGCGCUAUCUUCGUCUCUCUCUGACCAUUGCCCCCUUCUACUUGCCGAGGAUAAGGGGCCGCGGAGGCCUAGGACCUUUAGAUUCGAGAAUUUUUGGGUGUCUAUGCCCGGAUUCACCGAAGUGGUCCAAAAGGCCUGGGCGGAGCCAGUUGAACACACCGACCCUUACAUUUUGCUUUUCCACAAGCUA